CCCUUAGAUGUUCUGGGCUGCACACGCGCUACACUGAAGGGAUCAGCGUGUUCUUUUCCUGGUCCGAAAGGAUCGGGUAACCCGCUGAACCCCCUUCGUGGUAGGGAUCGGAGCUUGCAAUUAUUCUCCGUGAACCAGGAAUUCCCAGUAAGCGCAAGUCAUAAGCUUGCGUUGAUUACGUCCCUGCCCUUUGUACACACCGCCCGUCGCACCUACCGAUUGAAUGGUCCGGUGAAAUCUCGGGACGGCGGCUUGGUCGCUUGCGUCCGACUGCUGAAACUUGAUUAAACCAUAUCAUUUAGAGGAAGGUGAANUCGUAACA
rnacentral:rRNA from 1 species